AGAAUCAACGCUGGCGGCGUGCCUAACACAUGCAAGUCGAACGAGAAAGUGGAGCAAUCCAUGAGUAAAGUGGCGCACGGGUGAGUAACACGUGACUAACCUACCUUUUAGUGGGGGGAUAACCUAGGGAAACCUGGGCUAAUACCGCAUAAUACCUACGGGUCAAAGCAGCAAUGCGCUGGAAGAGGGGGUCGCGGCCGAUUAGCUAGUUGGCGGGGUAAUGGCCCACCAAGGCAGUGAUCGGUAUCCGGCCUGAGAGGGCGCACGGACACACUGGAACUGAAACACGGUCCAGACUCCUACGGGAGGCAGCAGUGGGGAAUUUUGCGCAAUGGGGGAAACCCUGACGCAGCAACGCCGCGUGGAGGAUGAAGACCCUUGGGUCGUAAACUCCUUUCGAUCGGGACAUAAUGACGGUACCGGAAGAAGAAGCCCGGCUAACUUCGCGCCAGCAGCCGC
rnacentral:rRNA from 1 species